AUCAAGGGCCAUACCACCUUGUCCGUGCCAGAUCUCAUCUGACCUUGGAAGCUAAGCAGGGUUGGUUCUAGUUAGUAUUUGGAUAGGAGACCGCUGAGAAUACCAGGUGCUCCAGUGG
rnacentral:rRNA from 1 species